rnacentral:lncRNA from 1 species
ACUGAGCCAAUUUAGUUUAAUUCUCCUUUAUAAGGCUAUUUUCAGAAACCAUUUGAGUAUUGUUUUAAACUACCUAGUAUCAGAAUGUCCUGAAAUUUGUACUUAUUUUACCUUCCAGAUUAUGUGAAAAAUAGGUAUAAGCAUCCUAACCUUUCCAUUUUAAUAAACCAGGCAUUUACUCUCUAUCAACUACAUGGACCAUUCUAGGAAGCCAAAAUUUUUUAUUUAUUUUUAUUUUUUAGAGACAGGGUCUCACUUUUUGUAUUUUUAGUAGAGAUGGGGUUUCACCAUGUUGGCCUGGCUGGUCUUGAACUCCUGACCUCAGGUGAUCUGCCUGUCUCAGACUCCCAAAGUGCUAGGAUUACUUGGACAACCAGUGGGCUCUAUUACAUAUGCUAUACUCACAGCUGUGACAACUGCUGAUUAUUAUAGUGCUUGUGACUUAUUUUAUCUUUAUCCACGCAUAAAUUCAUGACAAUGAAGCAAAGACAGAUGAAGAAACUAGGAUGGCUGCCUCUUUAGGACUCAUGUAUGAGAAUGUUAUGAACCUGUUUAUAACCACACAAAACAAGUUAUAAUUAUCUAAUCAAAGGGAAAGUGAUGGUAAGCAAAUUGUUACAAGCAGUAGUCCUACUAAAAAUGUUCAAGAUUUGCAAAUUCUAUGAAUUCUAAUUUUUUUACAGUAAUACAUAAUACAGUAAUAAUAGGAACUUAAUUCUUCAACACUUCAUAAUUGUUUGUCUUAAUACCAACCAUGAAAUGAUGGCCUGGGAAAAAUUAAAAGUCAUUUUUUGGAGGAAUAAAGUUCCAUUGAAAAAAAACUUAGCCAUAUUUGUCAUCAUAAAA